rnacentral:antisense_RNA from 1 species
UGUGAGAGCGGGCUUGCUCGCGAAGGCGAAGUGUCAGUCGACUUGUUAUUAGCUGAUACACCGCCUUCGCGGGCAAGCCCGCUCCCACA